rnacentral:rRNA from 1 species
AUAUUGCACAAUGGGCGCAAGCCUGAUGCAGCCAUGCCGCGUGUGUGAAGAAGGCCUUCGGGUUGUAAAGCACUUUCAGUCGUGAGGAAGGUAGUGUAGUUAAUAGCUGCAUUAUUUGACGUUAGCGACAGAAGAAGCACCGGCUAACUCCGUGCCAGCAGCCGCGGUAAUACGGAGGGUGCGAGCGUUAAUCGGAAUUACUGGGCGUAAAGCGCAUGCAGGUGGUUUGUUAAGUCAGAUGUGAAAGCCCGGGGCUCAACCUCGGAAUAGCAUUUGAAACUGGCAGACUAGAGUACUGUAGAGGGGGGUAGAAUUUCAGGUGUAGCGGUGAAAUGCGUAGAGAUCUGAAGGAAUACCGGUGGCGAAGGCGGCCCCCUGGACAGAUACUGACACUCAGAUGCGAAAGCGUGGGGAGCAAACAGGAUUAGAUACCCUGGUAGUCCACGCCGUAAACGAUGUCUACUUGGAGGUUGUGGCCUUGAGCCGUGGCUUUCGGAGCUAACGCGUUAAGUAGACCGCCUGGGGAGUACGGUCGCAAGAUUAAAACUCAAAUGAAUUGACGGGGGCCCGCACAAGCGGUGGAGCAUGUGGUUUAAUUCGAUGCAACGCGAAGAACCUUACCUACUCUUGACAUCCAGAGAACUUUCCAGAGAUGGAUUGGUGCCUUCGGGAACUCUGAGACAGGUGCUGCAUGGCUGUCGUCAGCUCGUGUUGUGAAAUGUUGGGUUAAGUCCCGCAACGAGCGCAACCCUUAUCCUUGUUUGCCAGCGAGUAAUGUCGGGAACUCCAGGGAGACUGCCGGUGAUAAACCGGAGGAAGGUGGGGACGACGUCAAGUCAUCAUGGCCCUUACGAGUAGGGCUACACACGUGCUACAAUGGCGCAUACAGAGGGCGGCCAACUUGCGAGAGUGAGCGAAUCCCAAAAAGUGCGUCGUAGUCCGGAUUGGAGUCUGCAACUCGACUCCAUGAAGUCGGAAUCGCUAGUAAUCGUGGAUCAGAAUGCCACGGUGAAUAC